rnacentral:misc_RNA from 1 species
GGCCUAUAAAAAUUCUGCUCAAUAAGAAAACUCAUGAAGAAGUGGAUGGCGGUACCUCAAGUGAUGAUGAUACUGAAACUAAUGCUGCAUUAUCACCCUCCACAUAUGCGGAAGUUAAACAGAAGAACCAGAGCCGUGUGUUUGGUAUAAAUGACAUCUUAUUGUUGUGGAAGAUUACGAGACUAUUUGAUAAUGGCAUGGAAUGCAGA